UACGGAGGGUGCAAGCGUUAUUCGGAAUUACUGGGCGUAAAGCGCACGUAGGCGGCUUUGUAAGUUAGAGGUGAAAGCCCGGGGCUCAACCCCGGAAUUGCCUUUAAGACUGCAUCGCUUGAAUCCGGGAGAGGUGAGUGGAAUUCCGAGUGUAGAGGUGAAAUUCGUAGAUAUUCGGAAGAACACCAGUGGCGAAGGCGGCUCACUGGACACAUAUUGACGCUGAGGUGCGAAAGCGUGGGGAGCAAACAGG
rnacentral:rRNA from 1 species